AAGAUAAAUAUAGAUUCUACCACUGCAUCGAGUGUGAUACGAUAUUUAUCCACUCGAGACAGUUAAAUUUUCAAAUUUAAAACGCGAGGCUCGCCGAGGGUUUUAAAUAUUUAAAAUUUAACUGUCGAGAGUGGAUAAAUAUCGUAUUACACGAGAUUUGGUGGUAGAAUCUGUUUCUAUAAUGAUUUUCAAACAAUAUGCAGGCAAA
rnacentral:lncRNA from 1 species